AGGGAAGGCUGGAGAUAGGCCUAACACAUGCAAGUCGAACGGCAGCACAGUAAGAGCUUGCUCUUACGGGUGGCGAGUGGCGGACGGGUGAGGAAUGCAUCGGAAUCUACUUUUUCGUGGGGGAUAACGUAGGGAAACUUACGCUAAUACCGCAUACGACCUACGGGUGAAAGCAGGGGAUCUUCGGACCUUGCGCGAUUGAAUGAGCCGAUGUCGGAUUAGCUAGUUGGCGGGGUAAAGGCCCACCAAGGCGACGAUCCGUAGCUGGUCUGAGAGGAUGAUCAGCCACACUGGAACUGAGACACGGUCCAGACUCCUACGGGAGGCAGCAGUGGGGAAUAUUGGACAAUGGGCGCAAGCCUGAUCCAGCCAUACCGCGUGGGUGAAGAAGGCCUUCGGGUUGUAAAGCCCUUUUGUUGGGAAAGAAAAGCAGCAGGUUAAUACCCCGCUGUUCUGACGGUACCCAAAGAAUAAGCACCGGCUAACUUCGUG
rnacentral:rRNA from 1 species